AUAAAGGUAAAGGAACUGCUCACGCUCAGAAACCAGAAUAUUAGUAAACAAACAAGUAACUACAGCACCACGUUACCUGUGUGUGGGGAACAGCAGGUGCAGAGGAAGGCGAGGUUGGGGUAGUACACUGAAUGGACCGACCAACAAAGAUGCAUUAGAGAAACUGUCAAAUUUCACCCUAUCCUUCACUCAUCCUGCAGUGGCCCAAGAUAAACUCAUCUCUUAUUAAGGUCGCGGAAGGGGGACGUGAUUGCUGCCCGUAUCAUCAUUGGGUAUGACUUUGCUUGGG